rnacentral:rRNA from 1 species
AGAGUUUGAUCCUGGCUCAGGAUGAACGCUAGCGAUAGGCCUAACACAUGCAAGUCGAGGGGCAUCAUAAGGGGUAGCAAUACUUCUGGUGGCGACCGGCGCACGGGUGAGUAACACGUAUGCAACCUGCCUUCAACAAGGGCAUAACCCGUUGAAAGACGGACUAAUUCCCUAUGACACAGGGGUCCCGCAUGGGGAUAUUUGUUAAAGAUUUUUAUCGGUUGAAGAUGGGCAUGCGUUCCAUUAGCUUGUUGGCGGGGUAACGGCCCACCAAGGCAACGAUGGAUAGGGGAACUGAGAGGUUUAUCCCCCACACUGGUACUGAGACACGGACCAGACUCCUACGGGAGGCAGCAGUGAGGAAUAUUGGUCGAUGGACGCAAGUCUGAAAACCCAGCCACGUCGCGUGAAGGAAGACGGCCCUACGGGUUGUAAACUUCUUUUAUACGGGAAUAAAGUGCCCCACGUGUGGGGUUUUGCAUGUACCGUAUGAAUAAGGAUCGGCUAACUCCGUGCCAGCCGCGGC